AAGGCCAUACUUAUAGAGAUUAUUUCUGUAGUCCUUAACUGAACAAAUGCGUUUCUAAAAUGUAUGGCUUUACCAACCACCAUAAGGAGAGGUGACAUUCCUUCCUGAGUGUGAAUCUGGCUAGAAAUUUUGAUCUAAUAAAUUUGUAGCCAUUGACGAACGUUUGAUAUUUCUUCAUGAGACUCUGAUGGACAGAAUAUGUCCUAAGU